CUUUUUUUGUGGUUUCUCUGCGCAUCUCCAAAAGUAUCACAGUAAUGAUGCAAAAACCUGACUCGCUAGGCAAAUCAAGUGAGAUGGAGACAACAAAAGAAAGAAGAAAAAAAAAAUCAACAUUUGUACAAAAAGGAAGGUUAUAAUCAGGAUAUAUACUACGGAGAAUGUUUACAACAAUAAUCUCUCGAGGAAUUGUCUAAUUUGCCUAGUGUAGCUAGAUUCUAGUGUUUUAUGCUAUUAAACCAACAUUUAAAAACACCCUUUUUUUCUGGAGAGUCGAGAAAUAAAUGGUGAAUUGAUACAAUUAGCAUACACGGAGGCUUUUUUGUGUUUUUCAGAGAUCUUUUUCCUAUUGCCAAAGAAAUACUGAAUGUGGGUUUUCAGAGCCUUGUCUAUCCUUGUCACAGUGUAAGUUUUAUCUUGUGAAAGAUGAUAUGACAUGGUAUCCAGAGACCGAGUUUCACGGUUUUGAUUUAUUCAUGAAGCACAAGUUAAAGACCUCAAAGAAUUUAAUAAAUUAUGAAGUGUCUUUGUUUUUUUUUUUUCUCCUCAGAGUGUUCCUAAAAACACGAAAUCUGAGGUGGAGAUAUCCCCAGAUAAUGAAGUGUUGGAUUUGCUCAGCACGGAAACUCCCCCAGCUCCUCCAGCCUGCCAACGAGAAACGAAUGAGCUGCUAACUAGUCUGGACAAGACCCCCAACGUCAAGUGGAUCAGAGGCAUUGCCGCAGACCGUGCUGAACAUUUGAUGUGAGUGCUGCCAGCCGCUGAAGAAACCCCCGGUGACCAGCGAUCUGAUAGUCAACAGCAAUGACCCAAAAGAGCAGCUGGAAUGACUCUCCAGGAGCUCAGUGGUCCCCUGGUCCAGACCUGGGAGGAGAUCCCCCAAGACACCAUCUGUUUUCUCUUUAGGAGCACGUCCCGACGCUGUCAGGCAUGCACACAAUACACAUACAAUGAAUGUGGGGCCAUACAAACUACUGAGUUCCAUUUUGUAACAUGGAGUAGACUACUACAUCGUUUUUUCACUUUGAAUUUUUUGGGUGUGUUUGAUUUCUGCUCUCUGUAGAAAUCAAACACACCCAUUUUCAUUUUCAUUCCCAUCAGAUGAUGUGGCAUCCUUUUGUUCCUAACACAUUACCCAGUCAAUAUUGUUUUUU
ensembl:lncRNA